rnacentral:rRNA from 1 species
UAGGAUAGAGGCCUACCAUGGUGGUAACGGGUAACGGGGUGUUAGGGCACGACACCGGAGAGGGAGCCUGAGAAACGGCUACCACAUCCAAGGAUGGCAGCAGGCGCGCAAAUUACCCAAUCCCGACACGGGUAGGUAGUGACAAUAAAUAACAAUACGGGGUUCUUUCGGAUCUCGUAAUUGGAAUGAGUACAAUUUAAAUCUCUUAACGAGGAACAAUUGGAGGGCAAGUCUGGUGCCAGCAGCCGCGGUAAUUCCAGCUCCAAUAGCGUAUAUUAAAGUUGUUGCAGUUAAAAAGCUCGUAGUUGAAUUUCGGGGUUAGUAGGUUGGUCAUGCCUCUGGUAUGUACUGGUCUCACUGAUUCCUCCUUCCUGAUGAACCGUAAUGCCAUUAAUUUGGUGUUGCGGGGAAUUUGGACUGUUACUUUGAAAAAAUUAGAGUGUUUAAAGCAAGCUAACGCUUGAAUACAUUAGCAUGGAAUAAUGAAAUAGGACGUUCGAUCCUAUUUUGUUGGUUUCUAGGAUUGACGUAAUGAUUAAUAGGGAUAGUUGGGGGCAUUAGUAUUCAAUUGUCAGAGGUGAAAUUCUUGGAUUUAUUGAAGACUAACUACUGCGAAAGCAUUUGCCAAGGAUGUUUUCAUUAAUCAAGAACGAAAGUUAGGGGAUCGAAGGCGAUCAGAUACCGUCGUAGUCUUAACCAUAAACUAUGCCGACUAGGGAU